rnacentral:lncRNA from 1 species
GGUGUUGGGAUGAAGGGGAGAAGACAAGAGGAGGCAUUGGGAGAGGAAGUUAUGAUGUAAGAAAGAAGACUCUCUUCUUUAGCGCAUGCCACCCUUUAUUUCCUCUUUUCAUUUUGUCACACAAUCCCUUAUCCCUCAUGCCUCAAAGGAGAUAAGAUCAAAUUUUAUCAAAAUAUAUAUGUGAGGCAUGGAAAAGAGGAAGGAAAUAAGUGGUGCGCCAAAAAGAAAUCAGUAGAUCUCUCACUUAAAAAAUUUUAGCGCACGCCCACCUUUUCAAAUAUU